UGCUAUGAUGGUGUAAUUUGCGUCCUACACUGUGCCAAUGACGGGUGCCUACCGUCUAAUAUUGGCACAUCUGGCUGACGAAAAACGAGUCUGAGCA
ensembl:snoRNA SNORD16 Small nucleolar RNA SNORD16